rnacentral:rRNA from 1 species
UACCUGCAGCUCAAGUGGUGGCCGCUAUUAUCGGGCCUAAAACGUUCGUAGCCGGUUUGGUAAAUGCCUGGGUAAAUCGUGUAGCUUAACUAUACGAAUUCCGGGUAGACUGCUAAACUUGAGACCGGGAGAAGCUAGAGGUACUCCUGGGGUAGAGGUGAAAUUCUGUAAUCCUGGGGGGACCACCAGUGGCGAAGGCGUCUAGCUAGAACGGGUUUGACGGUGAGGAACGAAGCCCUGGGGCGCAAACCGGAUUAGAUACCCGGGUAGUCCAGGGUGUAAACGCUGCUUGCUUGAUGUUAGUUGGGCUCCGAGCCCAAUUAGUGUCGGAGAGAAGUUGUUAAGCAAGCUGCCUGGGAAGUACGAUCGCAAGAUUGAAACUUAAAGGAAUUGGCGGGGGAGCACAGCAACGGGUGGAGCGUGCGGUUU